rnacentral:rRNA from 1 species
UGGGGAAUAUUGCGCAAUGGGCGAAAGCCUGACGCAGCGACGCCGCGUGAGGGAUGAAGGUUUUCGGAUCGUAAACCUCUGUCAGAAGGGAAGAAACCGCACUGUGCUAAUCAGCAGUGCCUUGACGGUACCUUCAAAGGAAGCACCGGAUAACUCCGUGCCAGCAGCCGCGGUAAUACGGAGGGUGCAAGCGUUAAUCGGAAUUACUGGGCGUAAAGCGCACGUAGGCUGCUUUGUAAGUCAGGGGUGAAAUCCCACGGCUCAACCGUGGAACUGCCUUUGAUACUGCUUAGCUUGAAUCCGGGAGAGGGUGGCGGAAUUCCAGGUGUAGGAGUGAAAUCCGUAGAUAUCUGGAGGAACAUCAGUGGCGAAGGCGGCCACCUGGACCGGUAUUGACGCUGAGGUGCGAAAGCGUGGGGAGCAAACAGG